rnacentral:lncRNA from 1 species
UUUGGUUCUCAUUGUUUUGAUUGCUAUUUGUUUUGUUUUUUAAUUUUUUAUGAUUGAGAAUUUUGCUUCGUUAUUCUUACGUGUCUUCCUUCUAUAGGGUAACCCUAGUCUCAUGACUUAAGUCACUAGUUUUGAAUAUUAGCUCGGUUUAAGUUUGGUUUUAUUAAGGCCUUUUUAAAAAUUAAAAUUUUUUUUUAAUUUUAUCAUUCGACAUUAGGUUAUUGGCCCUUGAGCUUAGCGAAUUGUCCUACUUUGUUUUAUGAGAUUAUCCCGAUCUCAUAUCUCGGGUAGCGGGUUAGUAGAGUUAACUCAAGUUGACUCUGUUUUUCUUUUCUCGAUGUUUUUUCAUGAAAUUGAUUUUUUUUUUCACUUUCAUCCUGUUGCAUUAAAUUAUUGCCCCUUGAACUUUGUGAUUUAGCCAUUUGCCAUUUUGUGGGGUUAUUGCAGGUGCAUGUUAGUCAAG